rnacentral:lncRNA from 1 species
CCAGUCUAUAAGGUGGGUAUAAGGUUGUUGCCUAUAAAAUGACACUUAAUGGGUGUACACUCACACCUACCGCUUGCUUGACUGGUGGAGGGUCGUUAGCCGAACGGGUAGNCUGCCUAUAAAAUGGCGCUUAAUGGGUGUACACUCACACCUACCGCUUGCUUGACUGGUGGAGGGUCGUUAGCCGAAUGGGUAGGAUAGGGCAACCCUCUCCUCAUUAAAAGUAUAAUGUAAGAUACAAAGUAACUACAAGUUUUUCAAAUUCCCAAUCUUAGUUACUUUAGGGUAAAAUGUGAAAAUGAUGCUAAUCCAUGGAAUUACACUUCGUUCCCUUGUCAAACGUUGAUGGAGCGCAUGUGGUUAACCGGCACAUCAAUUUGGGGAUGACAUUGGUAGCGAAGGGUGACUCGAUGUUUUUCAUAGAUCGAUGGAGUGUGUGUGGUUUACUAGCACAUUGAUUAGGUGAUAGAGACAUUGAGUGCACCAUGUUGAUUCGCAUGGUUAUUCACAAUUUGUUUGCGAUCCUCGGUAUCCCAGUCGCAAAUUUGAAAUGCAUAUCGAGAUUUAAACAUGCCAUUGAAAAGUUCAAUGAAUCUCAAAGAUCUAGGAGUUUUCAAUACAUUU